AGAGUUGAUCCUGGCUCAGAAUGAACGCUGGCGGCGUGCUUAACACAUGCAAGUCGAACGAGAAAGGGAUUGCUUGCAAUCCUGAGUAGAGUGGCGCACGGGUGAGUAACACGUAGAUAAUCUACCUCCAAGCCCGGGAUAACUAUUCGAAAGGAUAGCUAAUACCGGAUGAAGUGGUUUAACAUAAGUUAAAACAUGAAAGAUUGCCUCUUCUUGAAAGCAAUUGUUUGGAGAUGAGUCUGCGGACCAUUAGUUUGUUGGUGGGGUAACGGCCUACCAAGACUGCGAUGGUUAGCUGGUCUGAGAGGAUGAUCAGUCACACUGGAACUGGAACACGGUCCAGACUCCUACGGGAGGCAGCAGUGAGGAAUUUUGCGCAAUGGGGGAAACCCUGACGCAGCAACGCCGCGUGAGUGAAGAAGGCCUUUGGGUCGUAAAGCUCUGUCGACAGGGAAGAAAUUGCAAUUAUCCAAUAGGUGAUUAUAUUGACGGUACCUGUAGAGGAAGCACCGGCUAACUCCGUGCCAGCAGCCGCGGUAACACGGGGGGUGCAAGCGUUAUUCGGAAUUAUUGGGCGUAAGGGCGCGUAGGCGGUCUUGUCGGUCAGAUGUGAAAGCCCAGGGCUCAACCCUGGACGUGCAUUUGAAACAGCAAGACUUGAGUACGGGAGAGGAAAGCGGAAUUCCUGGUGUAGAGGUGAAAUUCGUAGAUAUCAGAGGAACACCGAUGGCGAAGCAGCUUUCUGGACCGAUACUGACGCUGAGGCGCGAAGGCGUGGGGAGCGAACAGGAUUAGAUACCCUGGUAGUCCACGCAGUAAACGAUGUUCACUAGGUGUAGC
rnacentral:rRNA from 1 species